AUCAUAGGUUUGGAUAAGUAAAAGAACUGCUUACUAGCAAGGGUCAAAUUUUGUAUAGCAAGAGAUAAAUUAAAAGGUAGUUACCUUGAACGAUUUUCGAGCCUCCUGCAUAAGCGUGUCACUCUUGUCAGUCAACUGACCAGAGGUGGUGGGAGAGCUAAGGUUUAGCUCAGCAGAAGGCUGGUGAGAUAUUGCCAAAGUCCCAUUACAGUUCCUGAUGAAAACUGGUCCAUAGACCACCAGCGAUUAGCCACAGGCUGAUAACACAAAGCUUUCAUGUAAUUUCAUGAACAAAACACCAUGAUGCUGUGUCAAGAUGUUUGGGGCAAAAGUCCUUAACUGUGGGCAUUGAUGUAUCGAGCAGGACAGCCCCUCUCUGUACCAGGGACCGCACCCCGUCAGAAGUAAAGCUGGUGCAGUAUAGGUCUGACCCAUCCCUACCUGCGUCUUCCCUUCCACAGUUUUGAAACUUCGUUGCCGUCUCCAGAUGCCAGCUGUAAGAGACAUACAAAACAAUGUUUUUUAUCAGUCUCUUCUUGUAGUGUCUGGCUUUCUGGCACUUUCUUCUUCUGCUGAAUCGUGACCGUGCUGCCAGGAAAGCCAUUGGAACCCUCUCCCCAAUGACUGCCUUUGCUAAUCCUGCCUGCCCAAUUGAGACAAAGCUGGGGACUUCACCACCACUGUAAUUACGGAGUCCACCCACCACUGCAAGCGAGACACAGGGCCAAGAGAACAUCGAGUUUAGGAUUCCGUUGUGUUUUGUUUUUAUUGCCUCAUAAUACUAAAGUUCCAGCUUGGAAAUGAAACAUUAUAUAACGAGACCUGGGUUGGCUUUCAAUGGUGAUUUGUUUUGUAGAUAGAGUUGUUGUUAUCGUUGUUAUUGAAUCUUGGCACUUCUGGAUGAACAGUGACCAUUCUUACCUCUUCUGGUCAAACUCUUUAGGUGGUUUUCAGAAAUUGGCUGAUAUGUCCUCAGAUCACCCCUGUGAGGAAGUGAAGUGUCCUUGUUUUUCUAGCUGGAAAAAAUGAAACAUAAAAAGCUGCUUAGGCAAUUGCCUUGGCCUGUCAGGGAUGGAAGCCUGAGUUGCCACUGGGGAACUUGUGGCCUCUGGGAGGGCGCUCCUGCCUUCCCGUUGGAAGGCAGGAACGCGCACGCGCUGUCCAGGGCAGCAACAUGGUGGGAGGAUCGAGCCUCCUCCCACUCAAGGAGACAGUGGCUCUGAAACUACCCCUAGAGAUGCCUCUUUCCUGGCUGACAGUUAUGGCAAGUGACCUUCAGCUCCACUACGGAAAGUCCAAGUGACUAAUUUAAUGAACCUUUGGUGUGUGGGGGAUGGAGAGGGAGGAGGCUGCCUGGGCCCAGGGCCAAGGUGAGCCAUCUUCAGUCCACACAGGGGGUGGAGGGAGAGAUGAGAGCGGAAGGGGUCAGAAGAGAACAGGCUUCUCUGCGUGGUCAGGGAAGAGAGUCUGACCAUGUGGACAGAUGGAGGCCCUGGGUUAGGGAGGUGAAGCAUGUCAGCAAAGCAGGAGCGCUUCCUGUCUGCAGACAGGCAAAGGGCCAGUGCUUCGAUGAGCUGGAAAUAGGAAGCCACGGGAGGCGGUCAGCAGAAUCCUUUUGCUCUGUGGGUUUUACCUAGUGAAGUGAAAAAGCUCGUUAUGUCAGUGAUCUGGGGAGCUUGUUUAUGGCUGUGUUUUCUUUUAUGUUUCCUCCUGUAAUACUUGAUGGUACUCAAUCCACAGAGGCCACGCUGCCAUUCCGUCUCAGGCAUCCAUCAGCCAGGAGCCAUUGUUCAGGCUGUCAUCGUUUCGCGCAGCCGUGUGGCUGGGUGUGUUUAGAUCCUGAGUUAGCUCGCUUGCCUCUGCUUCUUGAAUGUACACUUCCAAGGAAGCAGGAGGGGCCAGGGCAGGGACAGUUCCUUCCUCCGCCUUUGCUCUAAAGAAGUGAUGGCUCUUCCCGUUGGCAUUCUUACAACACAAAGCUCUGCUCUAAGUGACACGGAGGUCAUGACUGCACAUGGGACCAGGGCAUUCUGGUAAGCCAGAGAUUUCCCUCAUAGAUUUUCUUAGUUGUUACAGCCCUGUCAGGUGGGUGGUAUUGUUUGGAGGAAAAUGAGGCUUGGAGAAAUGCAUGAGGUCUCAUAAUAGACCAUCUGACCCUGCCCUAAAGGACCAUUUGAAGGAGCAUUACCAGCAAGAAGGCAGGUGGAACUAAGAUUGCUCUGAGCUUUGUCUGCAACCCCAGGACCAUUGUCUUUGCAGGAAUCCAAUCUGACGGUCCUUUUUGACUCAACUUGUCCACUAUCCCCCGUUGGAGUUUCUAAGGGAGCCCAAGAUACGACAUCCGUCUCUCCCACCUGAAUCCCAAACAAAUUGAGGAAUAUCGCCAUUACUAAUUUAAAAGGACUAUGAUUGGAGUUCCCGUUGUGGCUUGGUGGGCUGAGAACCCGACAUAGUGUCUGUGAGGAUGUGAGUUUGAUCCCUGGCCUUACUCAGUGGGUUAAGGAUCCGGGGUUGCCGUGAGCUACGGUGUAGGCUGGCAGCUGCAGCUCUGAUUGACCCCUAGCCUGGGAGCUUCCAUAUGCCACAGGUGCAGCUUUAAAAAGAAAAAAAGCAAACAAACAAGGACUAUGGUGGGAGACAGUCUGCUGACUGGACUCCGAGGUUAGGCAGACACCUCUCCCAGGCUUGGGCACCAAGGAGAGCCUGCUGGGUGAGACUGACCUCGUGGAGAAACAAAGAACACUUCUCUGCACAGCCCCUCCUAGGAGAAAGAGAAUCAGGGUCACCAUGCUCCUUGCACAAUGAAUCGAGGGCCAGAAGGCCAGUGUUCCAGCUCCUGGCAUGUCCCAGACGCCUGGCAGUAGCCGUCAAGAAGUGAGGAAGGGUUCUUUCCCCUGAUGCUUCCUCCAGGAUGUCUUACCUGGAGCCUGCACGGUAGGCUAAGGUGCCCUCCAUGUCCCCUCACACCCCUCCCUGCAUGUGACUGUCUUGUCGCCUGUAAUCCUGAAUUCUGACUUACUGGUCACAUGUCUCUCUGCCCCCAAGGACUGUGGAUUCUAAGUAAAUGUCCUGGGGCUCUUCAUCUUUUUAACCACAGUGACUGGCAUCUAGCAGCUAUUGGUGAGAGUUUGUUGAACGGAACUGAAACGGGGUACCGAAUCUCUUUACCCACCAAUACUGAAAAGACUUUGUUGUUGGGUGGUCUCAGAAACUUCUGAAAAGUUUUUCAAAGUGUUCAUUUGCAAAGUCGAGAUAAGCACUGAUAAGAUGGAGCUCUAGAAGUUCUAAGGGAAAACAAAAACUGUCAUGUGGAGAUAAAAGCCGCAGAGGCAAUUGGCAGCCGAUUCUAUUUAUCAACAUGAACCUGUGCAGUGGAGUGGGGAGGAAGUUUGUGUGAGUGACCCUGUUUAGUGUAAGUAUAUUCACUGGUGAUUAAUUGCAAACAUGUUGCUGGUGAGGGAUCAAUCCAAGAUUUAAAGGGAGCCUCCAAUUACAUUCCCCGUGGUGAAGUACAGUUGACCCUUGAACAGCAUGGGUUUGAAUUGAGUGAAUCCACUUACUUACAGAUUUUUUUUAGUACUAUCGUGAGUACUGUUGUGGGUACUACACGGCCUGAGGUUGGUUGGAUGUGUGAAUGUGGUACCAGGAAUGUGAAGGAACGGUGUGUACAGAGGAACAGAGUAUGUGAGAGCUGACUCUAAUUACACUUGGGUUUUCUACUAAACAGAGGGUCGGCACCCCAACCUCUGCUACUGAACAGCAGUAGCAUCUGGGAAUUUAGAGAUGCAUAUUCUUAGACCCUGCCACCCCAGCCCUUCCAAAUAAUCAGGAUUUCUGUGAACAGUGUCCAGGAAUCUGGGUUUUAACAAGCCCUCCAGGUGAUUCUUGGGCUGCUAAAGUUCAAGAGGUGUUGUUACAUUGGGCCUCCUCCAGAGUGGAAAGAACAGAUUUGCACGUCAAAGGGACUAAUACUAAGAAUUCACAUAACAAGGCAAUCUUCUAAACACUCCAAGUGUGUUAUCUCCGUUAUUCCUUACACCAAUUCAAGAAAAAGGUUAGUAUUUUUCACUUGAUUUUGUUUUUGGCUGUGCCUAUGGCACAUAGAAGUUCCCCAGCCAGGGCUCAAACCUGAGCCACAGCAGUGACCUGAGCUGCUACAGUGACAACGCUAGAUCCUUAACCCACUGCACCACAAAGGUACUCCAGAUUUUUUAGGUGAGCAAACUGAGAUACAAGGCCAGGACUAGGGUGAGAUAAAGGAGGCACUCUCCUCCUGGGGAGAGAAAUUAAAGAGGGUGCCCCCAAACCCAGUAAUCAAGAUUCAUAAUAUUUUAAUGUAAUAUUUUUAAAAAUCAAAAUGAAUGACAGUAAAUUAAUGAUCAUCCAAAAAUCAGAGGGCGAUCCAGCAGGCAAAAUGGUAUAUAGUUACUUGUCAGGUGAUAUAAUAAGAAGCAGAGAAAAAGACUUGAACCCAGCAUUUGACUCCAGGCACUGUGUGCUCAGUGGAGAUGCUGUGGACCCCUGUCAACUAACACUGCCCUGCCAUGAUGGAGAAGGAAAGGUCCAGGGGCCUACGAGCAAGCAGCUUUUGGGUCACAGGGGUGCCUAAGGGUCCUGAACUCAUUGGAACCUCAAGCAAAAACAACAACAA
ensembl:lncRNA